GACGAACGCUGGCGGCGUGCUUAACACAUGCAAGUCGAACGCUGAAGCUCAGCUUUUGUUGGGUGGAUGAGUGGCGAACGGGUGAGUAACACGUGAGUAACCUGCCCCCUUCUUUGGGAUAACGCCCGGAAACGGGUGCUAAUACUGGAUAUUCACUGGUCUUCGCAUGGGGGUUGGUGGAAAGGGUUUUUCUGGUGGGGGAUGGGCUCGCGUCCUAUCAGCUUGUUGGUGGGGUGAUGGCCUACCAAGGCUUUGACGGGUAGCCGGCCUGAGAGGGUGACCGGUCACAUUGGGACUGAGAUACGGCCCAGACUCCGACGGGGGGCGGCAGUGGGGAAUAUUGCACAAUGGGCGAAAGCCUGAUGCAGCGACGCCGCGUGAGGGAUGGAGGCCUUCGGGUUGUGAACCUCUGUCGCUCAUGGUCAAGCCGCAACAAUGGUUGUGGUGGGGGUAGUGGGUAAAGAAGCGCCGGCUAACUACGUG
rnacentral:rRNA from 1 species